CUUGCAGUGAGCCGAGAUCGCACCACUGCACUCCAGCCUGGGCAACAGAGCGAGACUCCGUGUCAAACUAAUUAAUUAAAAAAUAAUAAAACCAAAGAUGAGAUAAAUACUACAAUUGGCAUAUGCUUUGAUCGUUUAUGAAAAGCAAGGUGGAAUAACAUAGAAAAGAAGAGGACGGAAGGAGUAAGGGAGGCAGGGAGGGAGAGCUCUCACAGGCUCAUAAGGGGAAAUACGCAAAUUAAGUGAGAUGACAUAGUGGCCUCAAUUCCGGAGAAAUGUAUUAAAAGGACUCCUGGAAAUGGUAUGCUGAGUAACAUGACAGUGUCUACUCCAGCUUCAUAGCAGACAGAGGAUUUUCCAAGGGAUCUUUUCUUAUGCCCACCCACAAUGAAAGCACACAUCGUGAUAUUAAAUCAGAGCUAUAUUUAGAAGUGUAGAGAACUAAUUUAAUAAAAAUACAAUCUAAGCCUGUUGUUGUCUAGUCAUCUUAACUGUAUGAAUAAAAAAGUUAGAGGGUAACAGAUUAACAUGCUAACUUUUUAUCUCUGAGUAUUAUGAGAUUGGGGCCAAUUUUUAAUUUACUUUUAGUGUUUUCUACUCUGGCUUUCUUUCGCAUGUUUGCUAUGAUGAACAUAACUUUACGAUCAUGGAAAAAAGAUUUUUAAAAACAAAUCCAUUUCCUGAGCUCUGAGAGAGAAGGUACUCCAACACUCUUGCUGUAACAAAAGCUAAAAAUGCUGUACCAACUAUAGAAAACGUUUCUAAAUCAGCUGCUCAGCUGGUAAACACGAAAAGAAAUUAGGCACCCAAGGAGAUAAGUAAGCAAAGCACUAAAGUAAGCUUCUGCCUAAAGGGCAUUUGCCGAAUAUGUCUGAGCAACACAGACUCCUCCUGAGGACAAAACCCAGGCAGCCCAAGUUAGGGGGUCCGUUUUCCAUACAAUGCUGGGACCUCCCUGGGGUCUCCAGCUCAGUGAACUAAAAGAUUGUAAGUAAAGAACUCAGACUCUUUACAGGUGGCUCAAGACUGUAAUCCCAACACUUUGGGAGGCCGAGGCAGGCAGAUCACUUGAGGCCAGGAGUUCGAGAUCAGCCUGGCCAACAUGGUGAAACCCCGUCUCUUACUAAAAAUACAAGUAUUAGCCAGGUGUGGUCGUGCACGCCUGUAAUCCCAGCUACUCGGGAGGCUGAGGCAGGAGAAUCGCUUGAACCCAGGAGGCAGGGGUUGCUGUGAGCCGAGAUCAUGCCACUGCACUCCAGCCUGGGUGACAGAGCAAGACUCCAUCUCAAAU
rnacentral:lncRNA from 10 species